rnacentral:lncRNA from 1 species
UUUUUGUGGUUAGUGUUAUGAUGUCCCGAUAUAGAUAAUCUUGAAGUAAAUCUUGAUUCUUAGAUCAACUAGAGAACUCUCAGGAAACUUCCUCUCUUCCCAUAAAAAUUAAUUAUAUAGUUAUCCUUGGGCGAUCUUGGAUCUUAAUUAGUACACUCACGUUCUCUGUGGAAAAUCGAUACUCUGGAAUACUCCCGGGUGAAAGCUACAUCGGUAUCCGUGCGCUUGCGGAUUUUUCUGUUUGCGUUUAAAAUACCCAACAACAAGAAGCGCC